GAUAAAACCACAAAGGACACAAUGAAAAAAAAAUCCAGAAAGCUCAUCAGUGAUAGAUUUUGUACUUUAGGAAAGCAUUAGAUAGUUUGGGUUUUAAUUAUCCCUAAACGAAAUCCUAUACAUUCUUGCCAGGAUGAAGGGUGUGUCUAAUAGGGUUCCGGGAGCGUGGCUUUGAGAGCAUAAUGCUGUUAGGACCUGUAGCUACCCGGCUUUACUUCCCUAUUGGAUUUAUUGGGCCUUUUGCUCCCUUGGCAACUGGCUAGAAUUGCGUUUUAACCCUUGCCUGGACUUUGACUCACUUCGUGAUCUCGGUUUACAUUGAAUAUGAAACAGAUUUGCUGGGGGAAGGCGUGUACUGUUUCUACUGCUACUGUUUAGAAGCUGUGGGGGCAGUAAGGGGCUCCAGUGCAGGCAUUUUCUCUUCUCUCUCUCUGUCUUUCACAGAGUGAUGUAAUUACCUGAUUUUAAUUUUUUGUCUUCUGCUUAUUUCAUAGGCACUAUACCUGAAUACUCUGUGUGUGUGUGUGUGUGUGUAAAAGCACAUUUCUUCUCAUCCCAGAACCUCAUUAAAUCUCAUGUGGGCACUCAUAGUUCCCCAUCAGUUCGCCUGGGGUUAAGUUGUGUACUUUUACAUGGGAUGACAAGUUAGAAAAGUUUAUGAGGUCACAGAACCUUCCUCCAGUCAACACAAUACACAUUCCCUCGAUGUAUUUUGCGAUCUCCUUAAAUGUAUUCUGUUUGAUGACUUCAGGUGGAUCAAGGCAGGAUCUGCUUGGCUUGAGCUAUGAGAAAAGGUUGGAUAGUAGAUAUCUGUAAUGCCAGAAAUCUUCUAUGGGAAGAAUAUGAGCAAAUGAAAGAAAAGGAAAAUACUCAGUUUGAUAUGCCUAACAUUGUUCAGAAAGCCACAGUGAGAAUGCUAAAGAGACUGGAUGAAAAGAAGAGAAAUUCUGAACUCUGUGAAGAAAACGUGAAUACCAAAGAAAACCAGGCCAUGUGUUUUAUAUUAAAAUAAAAUUCCAUAUAGAGUAAGAAUUGAAAAACUGAGGUAGGAUUCAGAAUUUAACAAGAUUAUGUUAUUUUUUAAAAUGUUAACAUUACAUAAAUGUGAUGUAUUUACUAAAUUGUACUAAUUUGAGCAUUCUUGUGAAUUUCUAUUUUGUUAUGUUUCCUGGUCUUUAAAAGAAAAUAGAAUUUCUUUUAAAUUCAAAUAUCAAUUUGUCACUGCUUCUUUAUUCACAUUUCCUCAAAUGUUUUGGACAGAUGUCUGAAAUUCUCACAAGAUGCCCCAUGAAUUUAGAUUUGGCUCCCUGAAUCCCCA
rnacentral:lncRNA from 13 species